rnacentral:rRNA from 1 species
AUUGAACGCUGGCGGCAUGCUUUACACAUGCAAGUCGGACGGCAGCACAGAGAAGCUUGCUUCUUGGGUGGCGAGUGGCGAACGGGUGAGUAAUAUAUCGGAACGUACCGAGUAAUGGGGGAUAACUAAUCGAAAGAUUAGCUAAUACCGCAUAUUCUCUGAGGAGGAAAGCAGGGGACCUUCGGGCCUUGCGUUAUUCGAGCGGCCGAUAUCUGAUUAGCUAGUUGGUGGGGUAAAGGCCGACCAAGGCGACGAUCAGUAGCGGGUCUGAGAGGAUGAUCCGCCACACUGGGACUGAGACACGGCCCAGACUCCUACGGGAGGCAGCAGUGGGGAAUUUUGGACAAUGGGCGCAAGCCUGAUCCAGCCAUGCCGCGUGUCUGAAGAAGGCCUUCGGGUUGUAAAGGACUUUUGUCAGGGAAGAAAAGGCUGUUGCUAAUACCGACAGCUGAUGACGGUACCUGAAGAAUAAGCACCGGCUAACUACGUG